rnacentral:lncRNA from 1 species
GACAGAAGGUGGUGGGUGUAGUACUCAUGAAUGGAUACAUUCUACAAGUUGGGCUUUUUCUUUCUCUUUUAAUACUGUCAGCUACUUGACUGCCCCUCAUGGCCACUUUUCAAGUCUUGAUUGCCAAGUAUUUAUUUUCUUUUUCCAGUUUGUCUGGAAGACAGAAUGCCUCCGGAAGGGAUUGUUGGGUUUUUCAUAUAAAGCACAUGAAAUAUCUGUAAUUAUGGAUUACAUUUUUGUACCCAAUAUAUGGCUGAAAGGAGUCCUGUGAUAGAAACUUUUAGAAGAUAAUUGAAUGUGUCAGCUGCAUCAAGAAAUUAUGUACUUGCUUCACUUCGACAAACUGUGAUAAAUAGUCUAUUGUCUGGAGGAGGAAUGAGGAAACUUUGAUAUAAAAGGUCUGGAACAUGGGAA